CGAUAGCAUUCCCCAUCAAACUGCCCCCAGAAAGGAAUGGUGGAAGUUUAGAGCAAGGCCAGCCACCAGUCUAGAGCAACCUGCUCUGAAGGAGCAGCCUGCAGGGGAUCCCCAAUCGGUAUCUAAACAGCCAGAAUGCAUUGUGGCUUGGGGUGACCAGUCCAAGGUGACUGCACAGGGAGAGGAUCACAAGAGGCAGGAGAGCGCAGAAGUGCUCUGUUAGCCACCCAAGAAGCUUACCUUACAGAGUAACCACCCCCUCCACACCCGCCCCCACCCACAGUGUGACACACUGCUGUCCAGACUGACAGAAUUGCAGGAAAAGUACAAGGCCAGCCAGAAGGAGAUGGGGCAGCUGCAGAUGGAGCAGUGUGAGCUCCUGGAGGAUCAGAGGAGGAUGCAGGAGGAGCAGGGCCAGCUGCAGGAAGAGCUGCACAGGCUCACACUGCCACUGCCAAAGAGUGGCCUCUUACUCAAGAGUCAGGAGCUACUCACCAAGUUAGAAGACCUGUGUGAGCUGCAGCUGCUCUACCAAG
rnacentral:lncRNA from 1 species